GAAUGCAUUAUUGUAAAGUAGUAGUCAUUUCCUUUCUAUAAAAAGGGACGCAUAUGUAACAUAAAAAAAGCAAGCCUUGAAGCCUUCAAUAAAACUAUUUCCUAAAAACACUCUCAAAAUAUUUAAGAUAUUCAUACUUAAUAGAUAAUGGAACAAACUUCAGAUAUCAUGGAUAAGCAAGAGGCAAAGGCUCUCUGCAUACGUUGAGGUUUGUGGUGAUAUAAUCAAUGGGCCUUUUGAUAUUUUUGGUGUAAAUGGUGGGUUAUGCUCACGGCUUGAAGCCAGAUGAAGUGUGACGAUGGCACAAGAAUUUGAGUGAUUGAUAUGAAUGUUGCAACAACAUUGAGUUUUCUUGCAAUAGGCUUUGAUAUUUUUUAACUUAGCUCUCUUAAGUCUUUUACACUCUUUCUACUGAAUGUUGUUCUCUAUUUUUUCCAGCCAAAAUAGUCAUUACAAGAAGCAACUCCUAAUAAUGUCUACUUUGCUACCUUAUAUAAUUCAUUGAGACAUGUAAAUUUUUACCAAUUUUUGUUAUUGUCACUAUUAUUAUUAAUUUUUUAAA